GACGAACGCUGGCGGCGUGCCUAAUACAUGCAAGUUGAGCGCUGAAGGUUGGUACUUGUACCAACUGGAUGAGCAGCGAACGGGUGAGUAACGCGUGGGGAAUCUGCCUUUGAGCGGGGGACAACAUUUGGAAACGAAUGCUAAUACCGCAUAAAAACUUUAAACACAAGUUUUAAGUUUGAAAGAUGCAAUUGCAUCACUCAAAGAUGAUCCCGCGUUGUAUUAGCUAGUUGGUGAGGUAAAGGCUCACCAAGGCGAUGAUACAUAGCCGACCCGAGAGGGUGAUCGGCCACAUUGGGACUGAGACACGGCCCAAACUCCUACGGGAGGCAGCAGUAGGGAAUCUUCGGCAAUGGACGAAAGUCUGACCGAGCAACGCCGCGUGAGUGAAGAAGGUUUUCGGAUCGUAAAACUCGGUUGGUAGAGAAGAACGUUGGUGAGAGUGGAAAGCUCAUCAAGUGACGGUAACUACCCAGAAAGGGACGGCUAACUACGUG
rnacentral:rRNA from 1 species